rnacentral:rRNA from 1 species
UACGAAGGGGGCUAGCGUUGCUCGGAAUUACUGGGCGUAAAGCGCACGUAGGCGGAUUGUUAAGUCGGGGGUGAAAUCCUGGAGCUCAACUCCAGAACUGCCUUCGAAACUGGCGAUCUUGAGUUCGGGAGAGGUGAGUGGAACUGCGAGUGUAGAGGUGAAAUUCGUAGAUAUUCGCAAGAACACCAGUGGCGAAGGCGGCUCACUGGCCCGAUACUGACGCUGAGGUGCGAAAGCGUGGGAGCAAACAGG